rnacentral:pre_miRNA from 1 species
UGAGGUAGUAGGUUGUAUAGUUGUGUAUUAUUAUUGGAGUCGAACUAUACAGCAUGCUAACUUUCC